AUCAACUUACAAAAAUGGUCUCAAGUAACAAUGGUCUUAACUUGUAUUUUGCACUCUUUUUUCAUGUAUACAAACUAGUUCCAAAUUCCAAUACAUAAUUCCUCUAUGAAGGGUCACAAAAAGCUUCACACAUUCUUAAUUUUUGUGUGAGAAACAAAUUAAGAGAGGAGGAGACAUGAAAAAGAGGGGUGUUGUGCAUGGGUAUUAUGAUAGAGGGAACUAGGAAACUAGAUAUAUUUACAUGCAAAAAUAGAAAAACUGGCAAGAGAGGAUGUACAAGAAGAGGCAGAAGAGAUUACUGUCAGAAUCCUGAAUAUCAUAAGUAAUCCAUUGGAAGCUCCCAAUCAUCCUCAGAUUCUCUUAUUUUUGGAUGGAAUUUCUGUCUGCGAGAACUUCUCCGUGUGCUCCGGCCAUGAUCAGAACCAAGAGAAAUUUCACUAUCAGAGUAUCCUUCAAUUUCAUCAAUGGAAACACUCACGUUCUGUGCAUCCCAGAAACCCUGGUAUAGUCAUAGAGGAUUUUUAACUACCAGCAUAAUCAACUAGCAAAGAAAAUGAUAACAAGCAGUCCACUUAUUACACACAACGGAUUUUUCUGGGAAACGAAAAUUCAAAUUAACUUGGGAGGACAAGCUUAAUUUUGAGUUAUAGAGGAACAUUUGAAACCAAUAAUAAUUUAUGUUUCCACUAAAACCACAUAACGAGAAAUUUCAAGCAGUCCAGUUCAAGAUGAAUUUCCCAACAAUGACCUUAGCAAUUAGAAUUCAUAAAUGAUCCUCAUUAAUUAGCUCUAUACCUUCGGUAGAUGUACUAGCAAUCAUACAUGAGGAUGGGAUGUAGCAAUGAGAACAAACAUCACUGCACCAAACAUUAAUGUGUAAAACAUAGCUACCAUGGGCAUAAAUUUUAUAUAUGCACAUAAGUCCUUCAGUAAAGCAUCAACUUAUAUACUUUUAUACAGGAAUCUUCCUGUGCACAUGUGUGUGCCUGCGCACCUUUUGGGGACACAUCUUAAAAAUGGCCAGAGGGCAUGCUUUGAAUAUUUUCACCACUGGAGAGAAAUGAAAGAAUUAACCCCUAAAUGUUCAGCAUGAUAAAAUAAUUUUAAGAAAAUGUACUUUCAUGACAAAUGAGAUAUUUCUUGGCAUCUGAACAAUCUGAACAAACCUAUAAAGUCGAGCCAAAUGCACAAUUAACAGCUUUGUUAUGCACCAAAAGGUACCUUUGUUAACUUUUGUAUCCGUGAGGCUGCCGCUUCAUGCACAAUAACCGUGUCUGAUAAAACUUCAAGGACAUCCUCAAUUGGUAAAGCAUAGGUACUCACCUGAAAUUAAGAAAAGAAGAUAACUUUUGAGCUGGUAGACACUUUUGAAGAAGGAAAUUGUUGGUCAUAUACUUGUAGCAGACCAAUAUUUGUUCAAGCAUAAUAUGCUUAGAAAAGGUAAAGAAAACAACAUAAAAUGAGCAUCAGAAACUGCACUACUCUAUCAAAGAGAGAAAAGACCAGUGUACCAACCAAACUAGAUGGAAUGAUGGAAAUCCCAAAUGAAUCAAGCUCAAGCAAUUCCACGGCCCCUGAAUUAACAUUAAAAGAGAAUCCCCGCACCUAAAACAAAAUUACGAUGCACAUAAUAAAAAAGACUCUGCAAUAAUAAUGGAAAUAUCAGGGCUCGACGCAUUGAACAUUAACCCACCUUCCCAAUGUAUCGCCGACCUGCAGUCACAACUCUGUAUCCUACCUAACAAGCAUAAAAAAUUGAGCUAUUAAAAUAAAAUGCAAAUAUGUGAUAGACUCAAGAAGAGAUACCAAAUAUGCAGAAAACAAAAGAAGGGAAUGCCAUAGGAGGUGAACGCUCACUUUUUUCCAAUUAAUUUCUGAUGAAAAUUCAUUCUUUAAUACGUUAUGCAGACCAUAACUUAAUCUUGACACCACAAAAUUGUGGCGAAAUCCACGAAAGAAUGGACACAAACAUGUUUGUAUGCAUGUGAUCACGUACACAAACAAAAUGAGUAGACCCAUAGACAAGUAAACAAUUACACGUACCAAUGUUUCAAGGCCAACCAUUUUUAAUUCAAACUCCAGCACAUUCUCAUCCUCAACAAGUAUAACGUCACCAACCUGUCUAACAUCCUCUAAAAGGAACCUAUCUGAUUCUCCAGAAAGCAAGUUAGGCCUCACUUCUACAACCAACACCAACCAAGAAGUAGUAUCCACCCAAAUUUGCGAUACAAAACCCAAACUAAGAGCGGAGUGAAUACUGAUCACUUGCUUUGCCAACAUAUUCGAUCUCCUUAUCACUUGUCUCCUUCUCCUCAAUCCCACCUUCCCAUUCAGCUGCCCAGACUCCUCAAUUUCCUUGUCAUCUUUAACUCGAAUCAAAUCUUCCUCUUCUGCUUUCUCCUCAUUCUUUCCACUCCUCUUCUCAUCUUUCAAUUCAAGAACAUCCAAACCAGGCGAGUCACUUCCCUUAUCAUUUCCCAUUCUGGGUUCAAACUCCAUAACCCCUUCUCCUUUCUCCUUAAACCCUAAUUCGCCGUAAAAUUCGCUUCCCUCCGAACCCAGUACACGGGUAUUCCUACCGCUUCUUGCGGUCACUGAUUUUAAACAGCCAUUUCUAGCACUUGGCCCAUGGGUACUUGAAAGAUACCGUCUUCUCAUAGUUGUUAAGCCUAAGUAACGAACCUGGGUAACAGAGAAGGCCAGAGGGAGAGAGGAAACGCAUUCACACAUGGUGAAACAGGGGAGGAGAUAGCCUGGAUUCUGAAGCCGGAGACCUUUGCAAAUUUGAAAAAUGGGAACCCGGAAUUCACUGAAAAUUUUCUCCGAUUUCCUGCAUGAUCAGUGUUGAGUUCACUCAGGUAGGAGGCUACAAGCGGGGCUGGACAAAGAAGCUCUCAUGGUUAUGGAAUUAGGAU
rnacentral:misc_RNA from 1 species